UGGGGAAUUGUUCGCAAUGGGCGCAAGCCUGACGACGCAACGCCGCGUGGAGGAUGAAGGUCUUCGGAUUGUAAACUCCUGUUGAUCGGGACGAAAAGCUUCGACCUAACACGUCGAGGACUGACGGUACCGGUUGAGGAAGCCACGGCUAACUCUGUGCCAGCAGCCGCGGUAAUACAGAGGUGGCAAGCGUUGUUCGGAAUUACUGGGCGUAAAGGGCGCGUAGGCGGCCUUCUAAGUCGGACGUGAAAGCCCCAGGCUUAACCUGGGAACUGCGUCCGAUACUGGGAGGCUUGGAUUCGGGAGAGGGAUGUGGAAUUCCAGGUGUAGCGGUGAAAUGCGUAGAUAUCUGGAGGAACACCGGUGGCGAAGGCGGCAUCCUGGACCGAGAUCGACGCUGAGGCGCGAAAGCUAGGGGAGCAAACGGG
rnacentral:rRNA from 1 species